AGUGAACGCUGGCGGCGUGCCUAAUACAUGCAAGUCGAACGGAGUUGCGCACGGGUGAGUAAUAUAUAGCUAAUCUGCCCUUUGCUGGUGGACAACAUUUAGAAAUGACUGCUAAUACUCCAUAGCGAGGGAUGAGACUAUAUCGUCUCAGCUAGUCGGUGGGGUAACGGCCUACCGAGGGUAUGAGGCGUAACUGGUUUGCGAGGAUGAUCAGUAACAUUGGAACUGAGACACGGUCGAAACUGCUACGGAAGGGGGCAGUAGGGAAUAUUGCGCAAUGGGCGAAGCCGUGACGGGGCUGCGGGGCGUGGAGGAGGACAAUUGUCGGGGCAUAAACUCCGUUUGAUAAGGAAGCGGUACCUAACGAAGAAGCACCGGCUAACUCCGUGCCAGCAGCCGCGGUAAUUC
rnacentral:rRNA from 1 species